UACGUAGGGGGCAAGCGUUGUCCGGAAUCAUUGGGCGUAAAGAGCGCGUAGGCGGCCAGAUAAGUCCGGUGUGAAAGCCCUGGGCUCAACCCAGGAAGUGCAUUCGAAACUGGCAGGCUUGAAUAUGGAAGAGGGUCGCGGAAUUCCCGGUGUAGAGGUGAAAUUCGUAGAUAUCGGGAGGAACACCAGUGGCGAAGGCGGCGACCUGGGCCAAUAUUGACGCUGAGGUGCGAAAGCGUGGGGAGCAAACAGG
rnacentral:rRNA from 1 species